CCUACGGGUGGCUGCAGUGAGGAAUAUUGGUCAAUGGACGAGAGUCUGAACCAGCCAAGUAGCGUGAAGGAUGACUGCCCUAUGGGUUGUAAACUUCUUUUAUAUGGGAAUAAAAUGUUCCACGUGUGGGAUUUUGUAUGUACCAUAUGAAUAAGGAUCGGCUAAUUCCGUUCCAGCAGCCGCGGUAAGACGGAGGAUCCGAGCGUUAUCCGGAUUUAUUGGGUUUAAAGGGAGCGUAGGUGGAUUGUUAAGUCAGUUGUGAAAGUUUGCGGCUCAACCGUAAAAUUGCAGUUGAAACUGGCAGUCUUGAGUACAGUAGAGGUGGGCGGAAUUCGUGGUGUAGCGGUGAAAUGCUUAGAUAUCACGAAGAACUCCGAUUGCGAAGGCAGUUCACUGGACUGCAACUGACACUGAGGCUCGAAAGUGUGGGUAUCAAACAGGAUUAGAUACCCCAGUAGUC
rnacentral:rRNA from 1 species